rnacentral:rRNA from 1 species
AUGGAGCUCCUAUUGGUGGCGACGAAGAGAGGCGGCGGCUCUCCUGGCAGGAAGCAGCGGGCGAUGGCGCUGGUUGUCGACGAGGUUGGCAGGGAGGUCGCGCUCGAGACCAGAGACGAAGGCGUUGCGAACUGCCGCGGCGGGCGCCGUCUUGGAGCACCCCAGCCGGAGGACGAGGCAGGGGCACAAGGGGUGGCGGAGGCCAUGGACAAAGCAGCAGGGCAGCGCCGGACGUUGAAUGACGAGGGCGAGGGGAUCCAGCGGAGCUCGGGCUCCCGGCGCAAAGGACAGACUGGGAGGAGGAGAUCCGGGCGCGGGCACGGAGGCCUGGACGGUGGCGCGCGAGAAGAGCAGCGGGAGGGAGAGAGCGAAGGGAGAGAGGGGAUCGAGCAGAUGGUCGUUCGGGCGUGUGGUUCCCUGGCGGCGCGAGGGAAUGAGGAGGAGAUGGGGUGA